rnacentral:lncRNA from 1 species
AUAUACUGCAUUUCUUUGCCUUCUUGGUUUCACUUUUUUAAACAACUCUUCCUUAAAAAAUUAGAAUCCUGAUAAGAACAUGAUACAACAUUAUGUGCUGCUGUGAUUUAACUAAAUACAAUAACAAGUCUGAGCAGCAACAUAAAUAAGGACUCUAAUUUUACUUAAGCAAAAAUACCCAUGAGUAAAACUGAAAAUUUUAAGACUGAGGAAAGAACUGAGUUCAUGUUUUUUAUGAAAAAAAAGUUUAGUUUCCAGAUCUACUUAUGUUGCAUUAAUGAACAGUAGCUGCUCAGCAAAAUAAAUGCAGAAAUUCAUUAAAGUUGGAGGAAAAUAGCAAUAUCUUAGUUAAUUUUCUUUGGGAAGUGAUUCCUUCUGACUAUAGAUGUUGUGCAAUAGUUCUGCUACUCUGUGGUGCUCCAGAAAGCUGAAAAUCUGAGAUUUACCUGUGCUGAUUCACAUGACCUGUAGUCAGUAUUUAUCAACAAAGACCUGCCAGUUGUCCCUUGAUCUGGAGGAAACCCAAAGCAGUCAGAAGGAAAUGCUUCUCAAAGGUGUUCAGAGCUGACAGUGCUGCAGAUGUGCAUGAAGUGGUGCUUCCAGCCCCUGGCCAAUGCAAUCCCAGUGCCCAGGAAUCCCCAGGAAUCCCCAGUCUGCCCCUGAAUGGGAGCUUCAUCCCCUCAGUGAAACACUUCCCCAGGUAUUAAAUUUAUAUUUGCCUUAUGCUCCUGAUGUACGAGGACAAGGGUGUUUUAUUAAUAUUUCCUUCUUGAUGCAGCCAGUCCAGACCACUUGAGCAGAUUCCUAAAGGGUGAAAAAUUAUGUUUGAAAUGCAGGAAUUGUUAAUUUGCACGUUAACUCCUGGAUUGAUGUCUUAGGUUGCCUUUCCCUUUAUUGACUUUUGAACACUCUUGCUUAAAGUCCAGUGGAUGUGGCAAAUUAAGUUAAAGACAAACACAGACCCUCUGUGAGGGAGCAUUACUGGGCCUGAUGUGUCUGCUGGGCCAUUUGGUGAAAAUAAUCUUCAUUCUGCAUGCUGGAAGAUGAUUCUGUCUGUUCUUACUGGUAUGUUUGUGUUCUUCUGAACAUUGUCU